AACAUUCGUGCAUGUUAAACGAAACGUUGAAUCGUCUAUUGGGAAACAUGUUCAAAGUAGUUCGUUCCGCUUCCGUGCUUACUACUGUCCUUUUAAUCUUAGGAUUUUUCUGGAUUGCAACGACAGAGGCAUUAGUGUGCAAUUGUGAAGCACCUGUAGGUCGACGAUGUCGGCGCCAAUGUCAAAAUAACAAUCAAACAAUAUCGUAGCAUAGCGAUGUGAAUUAGACUGUGUAUUUGGAUUUGUUUAAGAUAUAGUAGGUAUCAUCUGAAUCACACGUAAAAGUAAAGAAUUCUAAUAAUGAUGAAUAUUGAUUUAUCGACCCAAAUUUCAGGCCUGAAAUUAUCACAGUUAUUUUACAUCGUCGUAGGUAUGAUAAACAGAAGCAAUUAGAGGUACAGAGAAAAUUUAGAAAAGGAAGAUCUGAAAAUUAGAUACUAUUAACUCGUAAUUAUUUUUCUUCUAUAAUGUAACGUCACUUUUCGAGGACUUCUGCAAUUUAACGUCUUUACCGAGGACCGUACCGCCCGCCAGUACGCCACGUGCCUUCUAGAUACAAUUGAGAGAAGUUCCUCGAGGAGGAUUAGGUUGUCAUUUCCUUGUUCCUCUCAUCUUGCUGAUGUUCUCAUUCACUCCCGUUUCCGUAAAGUAAGCAUAACCAGUGCAUUGACAUUAGCAUUUUAGCUCCCAACUUCGUGAACCUUACGAAAAUAUAAAUACAGUUGAAUAGGGACAAGAGAGCAUUGUUGUAACGAACUUCACGACUGUUACUAAUCUGUAUUUUGUUUUACUAAUAAUGGAAGGUCCCCAUGGUUGACGAUCACUUUUAGAUGAGAUUUGGUACAGUGACAAAGCUUGUUAAGCUGAAUCCAAUGAUACACAGUUUUAGAGACAGACGGCUUAUUGCUUUCGAUGUAAUUAAUGUUAAAGUUGUACCGGGCGUUAGGAAGUUAGGGGUGCCUCGCAGGCGCGAUCAGAUAGUCCGCCUUAUUGCUACGUGCGAGGCAUCCCCCACUUCCAGUCGCGCGAUGUCUCACGGUUCCCAGGUAAUAUAGUGCUUUUAUUAGUGCGAUUAAUGCUAUCAGUCCUUUUAUCAGUAACUUUAACAUUAAUUGUCUCAAAUCCUAUAAGCCGCUUGUCCUAAAACUGGACAUCAUUGGAUUCAGCUUUACAAGCUUUAUAACUGUACCAAAUUUCAUCGAAAAGUGACCGUCAACCCUAGGGACGUCCCCUUGUAAAUUAACAGGAGCUUUAAAUAAACCAUGCAAAAGUA